rnacentral:tRNA from 1 species
GGGGAUGUAGCUCAAAUGGUAGAGCGCUUGCUUUGCAUGCGAGAGGUACUGGGUUUGAUACCCUGUAUCUCCA